GUGAGGAAUUUUCCGCAAUGGGCGAAAGCCUGACGGAGCAAUGCCGCGUGAAGGAUGAAGGCCUAUGGGUUGUAAACUUCUUUUCUCAGAAAAGAAUUAUGACGGUAUCUGAGGAAUAAGCAUCGGCUAACUCUGUGCCAGCAGCCGCGGUAAGACAGAGGAUGCAAGCGUUAUCCGGAAUGAUUGGGCGUAAAGCGUCUGUAGGUUGUUUAAAAAGUAUUCUGUAAAAGAUUAGGGCUUAACCCUAGAUAGGCAGAAUAAACUUUUAAGCUAGCGUUUGGUAGAGGCAGAGGUAAUUCCCGGUGGAGCGGUGAAAUGCGUAGAUAUCGGGAGGAACACCAAAGGCGAAGGCACUCUGCUGGGCCAAUACUAACACUGAGAGACGAAAGCGAGGGGAGCAAAUGGGAUUAGAAACCCGGGUAGUCC
rnacentral:rRNA from 1 species